rnacentral:rRNA from 1 species
UACGGAGGGUGCAAACGUUGCUCGGAAUCAUUGGGCGUAAAGCGCACGUAGGUGGCUUGUUAAGUCGGGUGUGAAAUCCCUGGGCUCAACCCAGGAAGUGCACUCGAAACUGGCGAGCUUGAGUACUGAAGAGGGUCGCGGAAUUCCCGGUGUAGAGGUGAAAUUCGUAGAUAUCGGGAGGAACACCAGUGGCGAAGGCGGCGACCUGGGCAGAUACUGACACUGAGGUGCGAAAGCGUGGGUAGCAAACAGG